AACUUACCCUUAGGACUGGGAUAACUCCGGGAAACUGGGGAUAAUACCGGAUAUUAGGCUAUGGCUGGAAUGCUUUGCCUUUGAAAUGUUUCUUGUAUUCGCCUAAGGAUAGAUCUGCGGCUGAUUAGGUCGUUGGUGGGGUAAUGGCCCACCAAGCCUAUGAUCGGUACGGGUUGUGAGAGCAAGAGCCCGGAGAUGGAACCUGAGACAAGGUUCCAGACCCUACGGGGUGCAGCAGGCGCGAAACCUCCGCAAUGUACGAAAGUGCGACGGGGGGAUCCCAAGUGUUAUUCUUAAUAGGAUAACUUUUCAUUAGUGUAAAAAGCUUUUAGAAUAAGAGCUGGGCAAGACCGG
rnacentral:rRNA from 1 species